GGCCGGGGCCGGGGCCGGGAGCGCAGCGCGGACGCUGCUCCAGCCCUGCAGCCCGCGGGGCAGCGCGGAGCCCCCACGAGAGCGUCUGGCCCCUCUGAGAAAAGAGAGAGAAGCAGCCAAAGCCGAGGAGCAGCAGCAAAGCGAGGAGCUGCUGAAACAGACGGAAGCCGAGAGGCGGAAGGUCGUCUGGGAGUUGCAGGAGCUGCGAGGGUUUCUGGAGGAGCAGGAGCAGUGGCUGCUGUCCCGGCUGGAAGAGCUGGAGAGAGCCAUUGUCCAGAGAAGGGAUGAGGGCGUUUGCAGACUGUCCCGGGAGAUUUCCCUGCUCAGUGAGAGGGGAGGAGAGAAGGGACAGCAGUCGCUGAGCCAGCCCC